CGGUGAAGGAGAGCUUGCUCUUUGGAUCAGUGGCGAACGGGUGAGUAACACGUGAGCAAUCUGCCCCUGACUCUGGGAUAACAGUUGGAAACAGCUGCUAAUACCGGAUACGAGACGUGACCGCAUGGUCGACGUUUGGAAAGAAUUUCGGUCAGGGAUGAGCUCGCGGCCUAUCAGCUUGUUGGUGAGGUAAUGGCUCACCAAGGCGUCGACGGGUAGCCGGCCUGAGAGGGUGACCGGCCACACUGGGACUGAGACACGGCCCAGACUCCUACGGGAGGCAGCAGUGGGGAAUAUUGCACAAUGGGCGAAAGCCUGAUGCAGCAACGCCGCGUGAGGGACGACGGCCUUCGGGUUGUAAACCUCUUUUAGCAGGGAAGAAGCGAAAGUGACGGUACCUGCAGAAAAAGCGCCGGCUAACUACGUGCCAGCAGCCGCGGUAAUACGUAGGGCGCAAGCGUUAUCCGGAAUUAUUGGGCGUAAAGAGCUCGUAGGCGGUUUGUCGCGUCUGCUGUGAAAACUGGAGGCUCAACCUCCAGCCUGCAGUGGGUACGGGCAGACUAGAGUGCGGUAGGGGAGAUUGGAAUUCCUGGUGUAGCGGUGGAAUGCGCAGAUAUCAGGAGGAACACCGAUGGCGAAGGCAGAUCUCUGGGCCGUAACUGACGCUGAGGAGCGAAAGGGUGGGGAGCAAACAGGCUUAGAUACCCUGGUAGUCCACCCCGUAAACGUUGGGAACUAGUUGUGGGGUCCAUUCCACGGAUUCCGUGACGCAGCUAACGCAUUAAGUUCCCCGCCUGGGGAGUACGGCCGCAAGGCUAAAACUCAAAGGAAUUGACGGGGACCCGCACAAGCGGCGGAGCAUGCGGAUUAAUUCGAUGCAACGCGAAGAACCUUACCAAGGCUUGACAUAUACGAGAACGGGCUAGAAAUAGUCAACUCUUUGGACACUCGUAAACAGGUGGUGCAUGGUUGUCGUCAGCUCGUGUCGUGA
rnacentral:rRNA from 1 species